rnacentral:rRNA from 1 species
AUUGAACGCUGGCGGCAGGCUUAACACAUGCAAGUCGAGCGGAGAUGAGGUGCUUGCACCUUAUCUUAGCGGCGGACGGGUGAGUAAUGCUUAGGAAUCUGCCUAUUAGUGGGGGACAACAUUCCGAAAGGAAUGCUAAUACCGCAUACGCCCUACGGGGGAAAGCAGGGGAUCUUCGGACCUUGCGCUAGUAGAUGAGCCUAAGUCAGAUUAGCUAGUUGGUGGGGUAAAGGCCUACCAAGGCGACGAUCUGUAGCGGGUCUGAGAGGAUGAUCCGCCACCCUGGGACUGAGACACGGCCCAGACUCCUACGGGAGGCAGCAGUGGGGAAUAUUGGACAAGGGGCGGAAGCCUGAUCCAGCCAUGCCGCGUGUGUGAAGAAGGCCUUAUGGUUGUAAAGCACUUUAAGCGAGGAGGAGGCUACUUUAGUUAAUACCUAGAGAUAGUGGACGUUACUCGCAGAAUAAGCACCGGCUAACUCUGUGCCAGCCGCCGCGGUAAAAC